UGGGAACAGUAAAUGAGAGAGAGGAAAAUUACAGCUAAACACAAACACCACGAAACAGCCCUGGUCCUUAACGUACAACAUGGCCAAAACAUAAUGCAUCGAGAAAUGAUUAGAUGUAUGUGUUUGGGAUUCAGACAAGAUUGUUCAGGACUUACAAAUAAAAAAACGAACCAGUGAAAAAAAUGUCUUGGGCACAUAUAUAAGUCAAGACUCUGGCACUCGACCCAAAAUAAAACGGUCCCAAACGUAACAAAGUUUCACAAAUCACUAUUCCGAAAUUUAACUCGGCAAGUGCAAAUAUCUCCAAAAGUAUUAAAAAAACGAUGGUAAAUUUUAUCGGCUGAUAAAACCCUCAGUACUAUUUUUUCCAAUCCACCUAGGAUAGCCUAUAUCAGGAACAAAAGCCUCAAAGAUCUACUUAUGAAGACAGAUUUACCAUGAGAAAGCUUGGUCCCGAUUAAAUCUAAUAGGAUGGGUUGUUUCCGAUGCACCGGAUGUGUUACAUGUGGGCACAUGUUGACUGGUUCAUCGUUUGUGCAUCCACAUUCUGGUAAAAGGUAUAAGAUUAGAUACCACAUUACAUGUUUGACAGACCAUGUCAUAUAUCUCAUCUCCUGUCCGUGUGGACUUUUCUACGUUUGUAAAACGGACCUUACUCUUCGGGACAGAAUUAGGGGACAUUGAUCAGCCAUCAUGACUGCGUUUAGAGAUGGGAAACCGGACAAACCGGUGGCUAAACAUUUUUGUGAAUACAAUUACAGAUUACCCACCCUUAAAUUUAUUGCUAUCGAUGUGAUACCAAUCCUAAACGAGAGGAGGAGACUGUUCCAGAUUAUUUCUCCAGAAAGAGACCUUUUGGAUCAAGCAAUUGGAUACUUUACAACCUAAGUAACAAAUAUAUUUUGUUCACUUCAUUUUUGGAUACUCGCUAAGGUUAACAUUCUAGUAUUAUGCUGUUACGUAUUAUUGGUAGCCCUAUGUUAGACUACUUUUCGCUAUUGUUGCUUUUGACUAGUGGGUAUCAUUCAGCCUCAGCAUCCUGCAUCUUUUGUAUUGGAUACAUGGUUAUGGUUAAUAGUCUUCU